UAACGGCGACAUAGCUGGCUUUUUGGAGAGGCCGCCUAACGGUCUGCCACUUCAUUGGAAUCAGCCUCCGCCCUUCUCAACUGGCUGCUGCGGGGCCAGUGGUGCCGGGAGACGAGGGCGGGCGCUCAGGGACGGUUCGAACAGUCUGGGCCUAGUCAAUGUAAAGACAAUGAGGAUGAAGACCUUUAUGAAGAUGACUUCCACUUACAUGGCACCAGCUGGAUGAAGCCUUUGACAUCUACCCUAGCUAACAAUUAGUGUCUUAGACUAAUGGAGAGUCUAGCACUUAGUAUGUGAUCAAUGAUGGUUCCUUGAAUAACAAAGUUGGUAAAUUAAUAAGUGGAAAUUAUAGGGACAGAGACUUCAGCUCAACUUUGGGGAGAUUUUUAUAAUAACUUGAACAAAAGAUACAAUGGAGGCCUUUGGGUGAAGAUGACAACAAAUUUCUUGUUGAGAACAAUGCUAGUCAGAAGACAGAAAAGCAACAUCUUCAAAGUAUUGAAAAAAAAAAGUGACCUGUAAGCCUAGAAUUCUUUACCCAGAGAAAAUAUCUUUAAAAAAAUGAAAAGCAUAAUUAAUACAAAGGCAGGCCGUGAACAAAAGAUAGAAGUUUUAAUACAGAAAAUUUCAAACAUACGAAGAAGUGAAGAGAUAUGAUGAACCACAAUAUACCCA
rnacentral:lncRNA from 1 species